rnacentral:tRNA from 2 species
GGAGAAGUACCCAAGAGGCUGAAGGGGACGGUUUGCUAAAUCGUUAGUGGGGGGUAACUCCAGCAAGGGUUCGAAUCCCUUCUUCUCCG